AACAAGCUUGACGGCAUUAAUUAUCAGACUGGUUACAAGGUUGUUCUAACAAGUCUGAUGCAGUCAUGAUAAACAAGAAUGUUACAAGGUUGACAACACAAGGUUGUAACAUGACUUCAUCAGACUUGUUGGAACAACCUUGUUACAAGCUUGAUAAGAUCAACAAGAUUGUU